rnacentral:misc_RNA from 1 species
GAUGAAGAACGCAGCGAAAUGCGAUAAGUAAUGUGAAUUGCAGAAUUCAGUGAAUCAUCGAAUCUUUGAACGCACAUUGCGCCCGCCAGUAUUCUGGCGGGCAUGCCUGUUCGAGCGUCAUUUCAACCCUCAAGACCCCUUCGGGGGACUUGGUGUUGGGGACCGGCACAGGGGCCUGCCUGCUUGUCUUGCAGCGCCCUCGCCGCCCCCGAAAUGAAUUGGCGGCCUCGUCGCGGCCUCCCCUGCGUAGUAGCACAACCUCGCAACGGGAACGUGACGGCGGCCACUGCCGUAAAACAACCCCAAUUUUAUUAGAGUUGACCUCGAAUCAGGUAGGAAUACCCGCUGAACUUAAGCAUACCAAUAAGCGGAGGA